UAAGAGCUAGCCUAAAUGAGCAUUUUGGUUCCUGCAGGGAGAUCUCGAGGGUGUCAGUCCCAAAAGAUUUCGAGUCUGAAGGUCCUAAAUGUUUUGCCUACAUCGACUUCAAGGAUUCUUCUAGCAUGAAGAAAGCUCUAGAACUCAAAUGAAACUGAACUUGCUGGUUAUGGUGGUUGAUGUUGAGGCAUACACCUAUGAUGAUGAGGUCAUCAAGAAAGCUGAAGCAAUGGGGAAGCCCAAAAAUCCUGAAGAAGAAGCUACUGUGGAAACUACUAGAGCCAUAAAACAUCAUCAAAAAAGCUGAAGCAAUGGAAAAGCCAAAAAAUCCUGAAGAAGAAGCUACUGUGGAAACUACCAGAGCCAUAAAAGCUUCUCAGUUGUUGCUAAAUGCCAUUGAAAUUCUGAAGAAGAAGCUGGAUGCAUGUUGUACGUCUCUAAGCACAUAGUGGAGGCUGAUGAUUAGUUUGGUGAAUUGGGUGCACAUAUGUGAGGAGGUUAAUCAAAAUUAUUGUUAGAUAGGAUGGCAAAGUUAUUGGAAUUGUAAUUCAUGUAUUAGGAAUACAUUGCUUAGUUGUUAUCAUUUUGAUUUUUGAUAUUUUGUUAUACUGUCAUGUGAUUAAACAUUUUUUUUGUGACAAGUUUAUGUAUGUUGGAUUAGUGGAUUUAAAAUUAUUGGUCAUUGUCUAAA